rnacentral:lncRNA from 1 species
ACUCUCCGGCAGUUAUCCCGUUCUACACGCCGGUGUCCCCUAGGUGGGCACCGAGGUAACGGAGCGGAAAAGCAGGAGGAGAGGCGUGGUGCCCGCUGUCUAGAAGCGGAUGCGAGGCCCCCUGAGCCCGCAGUUGACGGCGGUGCCUUCGUUCCCGCCCUGCUCGCCGCCUCUCCCGGCGCCGCUCUUCCCACGGCCGGUGGCCGAGGCCGCGCCGAUGAACCCGGCUCAGGAGGCAAGUCUCUAACUGAAGACAAGGGUUUGAUAGACUACGGACAUUGGUUUGUACAUUCAGAUCAGUUCCAGCUGACCCCUAAGAUAUGUCAGUAAUUGGUUUAAUCUAGAGAGACAUUCUGUAUUGCUUCUUGCUUUAACUAGUGCAGAACAGACUGAGGGCGAGGAAGACAAGAAGGAGCCCAUCCCAGAAGCAAUUGCAUGCAUCCAGGACUUGCAUCUUCUAGGUCCCAUGUUGUCCAGCUAGAGCUGAGAGGGAGUGGACAUGGCUCCAGGCACAAGCACGAGAGCCUCAGAGUGGGCCUGGCCCUGGUGAUUCACAUCUGGGGGAGGAUGUGAUGUCACAGCUGGGUUCACAUCAUACCAGGAACAUGUCCUGUGCCCAGCACUGUUUGGGUGUGUUGCACCCCAACCUUGAGUCUUUUGCCUGGCUGCUGACAUGGAGCUGAGGACCAAUAGACACCUUCUGGGCAGAAUAUUUCUGUAGAAGUGCCCCAGAUACAUCCUUCAACGGCAGACUUGUCCACCCAGACGACCUGUCCCUGGGAGAGGUGUAGGCUGGAAGAGCUGCACAGUCCCUGCUUCCACAUUGUCGUCACAUUGCGGGAAGCUGGGGAGGAUUUCCCUGGUAGCUCUGGCUUCCCCCUCCCAGCAGCCCUGGGAUCUAUUUGCUUUCCUUUAACAAAGACUUCGCCUGCUUGCUGCCUGUGUGUUCCUGGAGUUCAUUUCUUUGACUGCCCUGAUCAGGAACCCGGAUUCCCAUAUCAUCUUUCUGGUGGUAUCUUUUGGGGACUAGUCUGGGAUCCAAUCCAAUACAUCUGCACUCAUAAGAACGUCUGAGUCCCUGCCAGAUCUCCAGCAACAGAUUCAUGGGAUGUCUGAUCCAGCUCGCCCUCUGGAACUAGUUGACCUCUUCCUCCUGGUGGAAAUAUUUCAUCACCAUAGCCAUCAUCAUGAUCUUUAAUCCUUUUAUUUGGACCCUAUAUAAUUAAUUGUAUUUCUCACUUCAUUACAUCCCAGUUAAAAACUAUGGACCUGGAGUUCCCGUCGUGGCUCAGGGGUUAACGAAUCCGACUAGGAACCAUGAGGUUGCAGGUUCAACCCCUGGCCUUGCCCAGUGGGUUAAGGAUCUGCCAUUGCUGUGAGCUGUGGUGUAGGCCACAGACAUGGCUCAGAUCCCACGUUGCUGUGGCUCUGGUAUAGGCUGGUGGCUAUAGCUCUGAUUUGACGCCCUAGCCUGGGAACCUCCAUAUGCCGUGGGAGCAGCCCUAGAAAAGGAAAAAAGACCCCCCCCCCAAAAAAAAAAAAAAAAAACUUAAUUGAGCUAUAUAGUCAGUUUGCCUUGAACUAACAUACCUAAAAUGUAUGGCUUGGUAAAUUUUAAUCUGCCUAAGCCCAUGGAAUGAUCAUCAUAACAUUCAUCACUCCUCUAUCUUUUGACAUUUCUCCCUAGGCCCCCAGGCUCUGCCACUUUUUCACCUUCAGUUAGUGUUUUCUAGACUUCUUUUUCCUGAAAAUAAUACUCUGUGAACAUGUACAGAAAAUUCUUUAUAUGAACAUAUGACUUUAAAAUGAAAGCUCUUUUUACAUCCC